rnacentral:misc_RNA from 1 species
UUUUCUAUAGAGUUGAAUUUCCUAGUGCGGUUACUAUCUGUGCAAUGAACUUUGACUCUAAUAACUUUGCACCCACUCGACAGAUUUUCUUUAAACUUUGCCAGAGUGAAGAACUGAAAGUUCCAGCAGAUUAAAUGUCCAACGACUAAAAUCGUAUGGUGGAGUUUUGAGAUAUAAGUUUCAAAAAUUCCUAUGGACUUUUCAAUGCAAAAUAAUUUCCAAAGUGGGAUCGCUACGGUGCAAUCACUAAAUGGCUAAUAACUACCCCAAUAUACAUCACACAAUGGAUUUCUUUCUAUUUUGGAAUCAGCGCUGAGAAAUACGUACGAAAAAUGUAUUUGUAGAAUCCUAUCUUCGAAAUAAAAAAGUAGGUCAUAUGCAGAUAGUAACCGCGACCUCAAUACGGCCAAAUUAAUUCUUUAAUAUUUUUUCAACCACUUGACCAAUUUUCACCAGUGAGCACUUGUUCGAUGAUAAUUAUGUUUCAAAUGUUUUGGAAUACAUAUCAUGGUUAUAUAACAUCAUGUGUGACUGUACAACGUGAUUUAUGUUUCGAAUAAAACCCGCGGUUCGCUUAUGCACCAACGACGACCCUUAUAUAGGGAGUACCCUACUCACUCGGGCUCCUAUAGGCGGCCCGAGAGCCAUACUCGGCCGCCAAAAAUGCAAUUUUGGUGCGAUUUUGAUGCGGUUUUCUGUGCCCUAGGGGAUUUUCCGGGCUGAACACGAAUUUCGCACAAUCAGAAAGGGUUUUCCACGUGUUUGGGGGAAAUUUCGCUUGUUUUACCGCAUUCGGAAUUAAAUCCGCGGUUACUAUCGGGACUAAGAUGUACCCUUAUAUGAGGAGUACUACCACUCCUCCGGGGUGGUCCGACGGACCGCCCUAUAAGACAGCUACGGCCCAGUGACACAUUGUCGGGCCAUAUAUGAGCGUCUUGCAUUAUCCGUGGUUAUUUGAGCUCUGCUCUCCGGUUCCAAAUGCGUUCAGGGUCCGGCCUUCGAUGCGAGAACGCGUGCCGGCCUUCUAUGGUGUCGUUCAGCGUAUGCACCUUAGCCUGUUAUGGUGUGCUGCGUUGGCGCAUCCACCUACGGGUUUCCAGUCCCAUUCCUUUCGAUCUGUUAUAGUUACGGGCGCAUUCCGGUGGAGGGCAGGCAUACAGUUCUGUCAUUUGCUGGUCUGUGCGCAGUUCUCUUUACAAUGAUAAUCCGACCGACAAGUCCUGCAAGCUGGGCAGGCGCGAAGCUUGUGCUGGCGGUGACUAUUCGAUAAACCCGCUAUUAUCCGCACGGGUGCAAACCAUCCACGUAGUUGAGGGCCUGCGUGGUUGCACUAUAUCACACGCGACGUGCGAUUCCUAUGUGAGCUGGGGUAGGAAAACGUGCGCAAGGCGUUCGUGCUUAUAUAUACGAAGCCAACCAAUCCUUAAGAGGUGGCUCACUGUGUGAACA